GACAGUGGGUGCAAACGUUAUUCGGAAUCACUGGGCUUAAAGGGUGCGUAGGCGGCGCGGCAAGUUGGGUGUGAAAUCCCUCGGCUCAACCGAGGAACUGCGCCCAAAACUGCCGUGCUCGAGGGAGAUAGAGGUGAGCGGAACUUAGGGUGGAGCGGUGAAAUGCGUUGAUAUCCUAAGGAACACCGGUGGCGAAAGCGGCUCACUGGAUCUCUUCUGACGCUGAGGCACGAAAGCUAGGGUAGCGAACGGG
rnacentral:rRNA from 1 species